rnacentral:rRNA from 1 species
GACGAACGCUGGCGGCGUGCUUAACACAUGCAAGUCGAACGGAAAGGCCUCUUUCGGGGGGUACUCGAGUGGCGAACGGGUGAGUAACACGUGAGUAACCUGCCCUUGACUUUGGGAUAACUUCAGGAAACUGGGGCUAAUACCGGAUAGGAGCUCCUGCUGCAUGGUGGGGGUUGGAAAGUUUCGGCGGUUGGGGAUGGACUCGCGGCUUAUCAGCUUGUUGGUGGGGUAGUGGCUUACCAAGGCUUUGACGGGUAGCCGGCCUGAGAGGGUGACCGGCCACAUUGGGACUGAGAUACGGCCCAGACUCCUACGGGAGGCAGCAGUGGGGAAUAUUGCACAAUGGGUGGAAGCCUGAUGCAGCAACGCCGUGUGCGGGAUGACGACCUUCGGGUUGUAAACCGCUUUCGCUCAUGACGAAGCUUUGUGUGACGGUAGUGGGUAAAGAAGCACCGGCUAACUACGUG